rnacentral:ncRNA from 1 species
CACUCUGGAGAGAGGCGCAGUAUGGGCGUCCGCCGAAGGGAUAGCGAUCUCAGGCCAAGGGACAGAGGG